GCGGUAAUACGGAGGGUGCAAGCGUUAAUCGGAAUUACUGGGCGUAAAGCGCACGCAGGCGGUCUGUCAAGUCGGAUGUGAAAUCCCCGGGCUUAACCUGGGAACUGCAUUCGAAACUGGCAGGCUAGAGUCUUGUAGAGGGGGGUAGAAUUCCAGGUGUAGCGGUGAAAUGCGUAGAGAUCUGGAGGAAUACCGGUGGCGAAGGCGGCCCCCUGGACAAAGACUGACGCUCAGGUGCGAAAGCGUGGGGAGCAAACAGGAUUA
rnacentral:rRNA from 2 species